CGCCCCGGCCCACAGCCUAGACGCGGAAUAAAUGAAUAAAACGUUCGCAAUCCGCGUGGGGAAGGGAGUGGGUGACUCCAGUGCCAGUCGGCCGCGUGCCACCCUCCCCCGCCCCCCCACCGCCGGCGCUGGGAUAGGGAUUCCGGGCAGUUGGGAAUUUAUGUUUGGGAACGAAGGUGAGAGGUGCCGGGUCCGCCCACGAGGGCAACAGCCUCUCUCUGAGAACCCAGGAAGGGCUGAGUAAACGUGCAGGCGCUCAGCUUCCUCUCCCCAUCGUCGCGCACAAAAAGAAUGGGCCUUGAAAAGGAUGAGUUUAUUAUGCCACUUUUAAAUGACUAUUCAGAAAAGAUCAGGAGGCACAAUAAAAAAAUGUUUCCCACCCUGCCAAUUCCCUUCCCUUAAAGAAGGAAAAAGGAAAAAAAAAGAGAAAGCAACCCACAAAGGGCCAACCCAAGGGGCUAAGAAAACCUCUGAGAGCUGUUAUGCCCAAAUACAUUGCGUGCGGGAGUUUGUGAAAGCAACUUUGCAGAGUGCAAACCUUAGAAGAUGAAAAUACUCCGAAAAUCACACAAUCCUCUUCCAACCGAGGCGCCGCACUUUUCCAGCCCUCUAGGAUAAAGUUGUCUCAGGAAAAUAAAACUGUUGAUAAACCAUG